rnacentral:siRNA from 1 species
GAGUGCCGCUCACGCCCGGUC